UUAAUUGAAACCAAAAAGAGGUACAUCACUGUUAAUGAUGUCAUUGAGUAAAAUCUCCAAUUAAG
rnacentral:tRNA from 1 species